CCAGACUCCUACGGGAGGCAGCAGUGAGGAAUAUUGGUCAAUGGCCGGAAGGCUGAACCAGCCAAGCCGCGUGAAGGACGAAGGUGCCAAGCAUUGUAAACUUCUUUUGUCAAGGGACAAAAUCAGGCUCGAGAGCCUGACCGAGGGUACUUGAAGAAAAGGCAUCGGCUAACUCCGUGCCAGCAGCCGCGGUAAUACGGAGGAUGCGAGCGUUAUCCGGAUUUAUUGGGUUUAAAGGGUGCGCAGGCGGAAUGUCAAGUCAGCGGUAAAAUUUCGGGGCUCAACCCCGUCGUGCCGUUGAAACUGGCGUUCUUGAGUGAGCGAGAAGUAUGCGGAAUGCGUGGUGUAGCGGUGAAAUGCAUAGAUAUCACGCAGAACCCCGAUUGCGAAGGCAGCAUGCCGGCUUCCGACUGACGCUGAAGCACGAAGGCGCGGGGAUCGAACAGGAUUAGAUACCCUUGUACU
rnacentral:rRNA from 1 species